rnacentral:rRNA from 1 species
GACGAACGCUGGCGGCGUGCUUAACACAUGCAAGUCGAACGAUGAACUUGGAGCUUGCUCUGGGGGAUUAGUGGCGAACGGGUGAGUAACACGUGAGUAACCUGCCCUGGACUCUGGGAUAACUUCGAGAAAUCGGAGCUAAUACCGGAUAGGACCUUGCACCGCAUGGUGUGGGGUGGAAAGUUUUUCGGUUUGGGAUGGACUCGCGGCCUAUCAGCUUGUUGGUGAGGUAAUGGCUCACCAAGGCGUCGACGGGUAGCCGGCCUGAGAGGGGGACCGGCCACACUGGGACUGAGACACGGCCCAGACUCCUACGGGAGGCAGCAGUGGGGAAUAUUGCACAAUGGGCGCAAGCCUGAUGCAGCAACGCCGCGUGCGGGAUGACGGCCUUCGGGUUGUAAACCGCUUUUAGUAGGGAAGAAGCCUUCGGGUGACGGUACCUGCAGAAAAAGGACAGGCUAACUACGUGCCAGCCGCCGCUGUAAAAC